rnacentral:pre_miRNA from 1 species
CAACUACUCCCUUUGUCCCAAAUUUCUUGUCUUAGAUUUGUCUAGAUACGGAUGUAUCUAAUACUAAAAUGUGACUUGAUACAUCCGUAUCUAGACAAAUCUAAGACAAGAAUUUUGGGACG